rnacentral:lncRNA from 1 species
GCACAAUAUGCAACUUAUGAGAUACCCUGGAGUGUCUACCUUUACAAAUGGUAGGCCUUUGUGGGCUUUUUAGAACAGUCAAACUGUUAUAAUACCCCAAAUGGAAGCAUAGGCUCAUUAAAUCCGUUUCUCAAAAUUCUACUGUAAAUACUGAAACGGACAGGUCUCCUAUAUGGCACUGUAACUUCACGAAAUAGUGCC